ACCGUUGAAUUCCCGCGGGAAAAUUUCGCAACCAUGAUGAGCGCGUCAACCUGUGUUUCUGUUCCUGGAAACCCCACAGUCACCUUGUUGGAGAAAUGCAGAACUCUGCGCCAAGUGCGUCAAAUUCAUUGCUAUAUGAUCAAAACAAACCUCGUCAGUCACACAUUCUCCGUCUCUAAACUGAUCUCUGUUUGUUCUCACACCGGUGAACUCGACUAUGCCUUGUCCAUUCUUCUUCGAAUUCAAAACCCCACUUCAUGCCUCUUCUUUCGCUCUCUAAUCAAGGGCUUUUCCGAAAGUUCAAAUCCUUUUCAGGCCGUAAUGCUUUACGCCCACAUGCUAUUCUGCUUAGAAGAUUUGCGGGGAAUCGAUUUCUCCGUUCCCUCUGUACUCAGAGCUUGUGGCAGAUCCUCUGCGUUCAGAGAAGGGAACCAAAUUUUCGGUCACGUAUUGAAGACCCAUCUAUGGUUUGACCCGUUUGUGACAAAUUCUGUGGUUCGCAUGUUCUUGGAGAUUGGUGAGAUCGAACUUGCGAGAUCGGUGUUUGAUAGAAUGCCUGUGAGAGACUUGAUUUCUUGGAAUUCCUUGAUUACGGGUUAUUUGAGGGCCGGCGAGAUUGAGCUUGCACGUGAACUGUUUGAGAGAAUGCCCGAACGGGACCUGGUUUCAUGUAACGCCAUGAUUGAUGGGUGUGCAAAGCAAGGAAUGUAUAAACUCGCUGAGGAUAUUUUUACGACAAUGAAGGUUAGGGAUUUAGUAACUUGGACAACAAUGAUUUCAGCUUAUGUUCUUAAUCACCGCCCUAUGAAAGGCUUAGAUUUAUUCAGAGAAAUGUUGAGUAAAGGAAUUCAACCUGAUGCCCCUGCUAUUAUCAGUGUCCUUUCAGCCAUUGCUGAUCUGGGUUUUGCUGAGGAAGGAAAAUGGAUGCAUACUUACAUGUCUACCAAUAAGAUAGAUCGUUGUUCUAGUUUUAUUGGAUCAGCUCUCAUAAACAUGUAUUCGAAAUGCGGCCAAAUCGAAAAUGCCUACCAUGUAUUUAGAGGCAUAUCUCAUCGAAGAAACACUGGGGAUUGGAAUUCCAUGAUGUCUGGGUUUUCUAUCCACGGGCUUGGUCAUGAAGCCAUCAAGCUUUUCUUGGAGAUGGAAAGGACAGAACUUAUGCCUGACGAUAUCACUUUUUUAGGACUCCUAAGUGCUUGCAACCAUGGAGGUCUAAUGAAUGAGGGCCUAUCCUAUUUUGAAACCAUGCAGGUGAAAUACAAGAUCGUUCCUAAGAUUCAGCACUAUGGAUGCAUAGUUGACCUUCUCGGUAGAUCAGGUCAUUUAAAAGAAGCACUUGAGAUCGUAUAUGAUAUGCCCGUGGAGCCUGAUGUUUUAAUCUGGAAGGCCAUUCUGAGUGCCAGCAUGAAGCAUAAUAACAUUGAAAUAGGUCAAAUUGCUGCAGGACGAGCUAUGGAUUUGGCUCCAGAGGAUUCAAGUUGUUAUGUUCUCCUCUCAAAUCUGUAUGCCAAAUUGGGACGGUGGGAUGACGUGGCUAGCGUUAGAAUAGUGAUGAAAAAGAGAGGAGUAAGAAAAAUUCCUGGGUGCAGCUCCAUUUUUGUGGAUGGUAAAGUUCAUGAAUUCCUAAUUGGGAAAGCAAUAGAUGUGGAGAGCAAGCAAAACAUUCUUUCCAUGAUAGAGGAAAUAGUCUCCAAGUUGAAAUUGGAAGGAUAUGAGCCUGACCUUAACCAAGUUCUUCUGGAUCUUGAAGACGAUGAAAAGGGAUGCCAUUUAGCUCUUCACAGUGAGAAGAUGGCUCUUGCUUUUGGACUGCUGAAUACCUCCCAUGGGAUCCCCAUUCAUAUAGUGAAAAACUUGAGGAUUUGCCGUGACUGUCACUCGUUCAUGAAACUGGUUUCCAAAGUAUACGACCGGAGAAUUAUUGUCAGGGACCAAAACCGCUUCCAUCAUUUUGAAAAUGGUGAUUGCUCUUGCCAAGAUCAUUGGUAAUUUCGAUGUUUAGUUUGUGAAGAGAUCAUGAAUACGUGGGCAAGGGGGUUGAUUUGAUUGGGUUUCAUUAGACUGAUACGAUUAAUAUUUGAUUUGGUAAAUGAAAUUCCAGCGCCCCAGUCGAUAUUCAUUCCAUUCAACGAUCUUAGCCACUUAAGACCAGCUUCGAUGAUUGGAUGAGCAGAAUUGGAGAAUUUAAGUACUAGUCCAUCAUUCUUUGAUGGUGUAAAUAUAGACAUCCUCUGCUAAGAAUCAACAAACAGAUGGAAGGACAAAAUAAGACCGAAGCUCAUAAAGACUGAAAAAAAG